rnacentral:rRNA from 1 species
GAUGAACGCUGGCGGCGUGCCUAAUACAUGCAAGUCGAGCGAACAGACGAGGAGCUUGCUCCUCUGACGUUAGCGGCGGACGGGCGAGUAACACGUGGAUAACCUACCUAUAAGACUGGGAUAACUUCGGGAAACCGGAGCUAAUACCGGAUAAUAUAUUGAACCGCAUGGUUCAAUAGUGAAAGACGGUUUUGCUGUCACUUAUAGAUGGAUCCGCGCCGCAUUAGCUAGUUGGUAAGGUAACGGCUUACCAAGGCAACGAUGCGUAGCCGACCUGAGAGGGUGAUCGGCCACACUGGAACUGAGACACGGUCCAGACUCCUACGGGAGGCAGCAGUAGGGAAUCUUCCGCAGUGGGCGAAAGCCUGACGGAGCAACGCCGCGUGAGUGAUGAAGGUCUUCGGAUCGUAAAACUCUGUUAUUAGGGAAGAACAAAUGUGUAAGUAACUAUGCACGUCUUGACGGUACCUAAUCAGAAAGCCACGGCUAACUACGU